AUCUCUUUUGAUAUUUUCACAUCCGACGAACUAGAUCUUCUCGGUUUAGUUCUAACAGAACUUAUAAAAGGCAAAAGAUAAUUCGAAUGAAUAUGAUAGGAUCAUUCCGUUGGAAAAUUUGUCUAUUAUUUUAGCAAAUAAUUAACCUGUUAAACUAUUUUUAAAUAAAGGUAUUUAAACUAUUGUUUAAAAAAAAACGCAUGCAAGAAUUGAUAGCAAAAUAUUAAAAAGAUAUGAAGUUCAGAUAAAGGAUUGCAGGUGGAGACGUGCUAGGCACUGUCCUAAAAGCGAGAUUAUCUCUCGUUCUAGUAAUCACCUCUA
rnacentral:lncRNA from 1 species